CUGAUAUAGAUUCAUCAGUUAAUGAAAAUAAUAAACAAAAUCAUCAAAAUAGGGCGAAAAAAAAUAUUCAUUCCGACGAUGAAUAUAAGGAUUUACGUUGUAUGUUACCUCCACCGCCAAAAAAACCAACUACGCUCUCUAUGAACAAGCCUUCAGAAUACUCUUUGAAGAGUCCAAAUAGAGAACAUUCAAGAUUAUCAAAUAAAACAAGUUAUGAGCAGAAAGAAAAUUGUAAUCGUACAGAUUUAUCAUCAUCUUCGCUAUUUCAUGCUAAACAAGAAGUUACUUCUCGUGAUACCAUAAAUGAAUCUGCGCGUGAGGUUUUGAAAAAGCCAAUUGCAACCAUUGACUCAAGGAUGUUGAAUGUUAACAAUUGUAAUUCAACAAUUUUAGAGGAUAUGGAACUCAAAAGAGAAUUAUACGUAAGUGCAAUAAAAUGGAUUCAAAGUUGAAUUGUAUUGAUGGGAGAUUGAGAAAUCUCGAAGAAAAGCUAGAAAGCGGCAUAAAUGUUAAAAAAGAUGAAUAUUUUAAUAUUGAAGACAUUGUAUGUUUGCCUUUAAAAACCAUUGGCGAUAUGACAAAAUUAGAAUUGGAUUUGCAAGAUACAAAUUUCUUUAACCAUAUGAAUGUGUUCAUGCGAAAUUCCAAACAGAUGACAAACAAAUAAA